rnacentral:rRNA from 1 species
GAGUUUGAUCCUGGCUCAGGAUGAACGCUAGCGGCAGGCUUAACACAUGCAAGUCGAGGGGUAGAUAUCUUCGGAUAUUGAGACCGGCGCACGGGUGCGUAACGCGUAUGCAAUCUACCUUAUACAGGGGGAUAGCCCAGAGAAAUUUGGAUUAAUACCCCAUAGUAUAGUCGAAUGGCAUCAUUUGACUAUUAAAGUUCCAACGGUAUAAGAUGAGCAUGCGUCCCAUUAGCUAGUUGGUGUGGUAACGGCACACCAAGGCUACGAUGGGUAGGGGUCCUGAGAGGGAGAUCCCCCACACUGGUACUGAGACACGGACCAGACUCCUACGGGAGGCAGCAGUGAGGAAUAUUGGUCAAUGGGCGCAAGCCUGAACCAGCCAUGCCGCGUGCAGGAUGACGGUCCUAUGGAUUGUAAACUGCUUUUGUACAGGAAGAAACACUCCCUCGUGAGGGAGCUUGACGGUACUGUAAGAAUAAGGAUCGGCUAACUCCGUGCCAGCAGCCGCGGUAAUACGGGAGGAUCCAAGCGUUAUCCGGAAUCAUUGGGUUUAAAGGGUCCGUAGGCGGUUUUAUAAGUCAGUGGUGAAAUCUGGUCGCUCAACGAUCAAACGGCCAUUGAUACUGUAAGACUUGAAUUACUUGGAAGUAACUAGAAUAUGUAGUGUAGCGGUGAAUGCUUAGAGAUUACAUGGAAUACCAAUUGCGAAGGCAGGUUACUACAAGUGGAUUGACGCUGAUGGACGAAAGCGUGGGGAGCGAACAGGAUUAGAAUACCUGGUAGUCACGCCGUAAACGAUGGAUACUAGCUGUUCGGUGCAAACUGAGUGGCUAAGCGAAAGUGAUAAGUAUCCCACCUGGGGAGUACGCUCGCAAGAGUGAAACUCAAAGGAAUUGACGGGGGCCCGCACAAGCGGAGGAGCAUGUGGUUUAAUUCGAUGAUACGCGAGGAACCUUACCAAGGCUUAAAUGGGAAACGACAGGUUUGGAAACAGACUUUUCUUCGGACGUUUUUCAAGGUGCUGCAUGGUUGUCGUCAGCUCGUGCCGUGAGGUGUCAGGUUAAGUCCUAUAACGAGCGCAACCCCUGUUGUUAGUUGCCAGCGAGUCAUGUCGGGAACUCUAACAAGACUGCCAGUGCAAACUGUGAGGAAGGUGGGGAUGACGUCAAAUCAUCACGGCCCUUACGCCUUGGGCUACACACGUGCUACAAUGGACGGUACAGAGAGCAGCCACUACGCAAGUAGGAGCGAAUCUACAAAACCGUUCUCAGUUCGGAUCGGAGUCUGCAACUCGACUCCGUGAAGCUGGAUUCGCUAGUAAUCGCAGAUCAGCCAUGCUGCGGUGAAUACGUUCCCGGGCCUUGUACACACCGCCCGUCAAGCCAUGGAAGCUGGGGGUACCUGAAGUCGGUGACCGCAAGGAGCUGCCUAGGGUAAAACUGGUAACUAGGGCUAAGUCGUAACAAGGUAACC